rnacentral:rRNA from 1 species
GAUGAACGCUGGCGGCGUGCCUAAUACAUGCAAGUCGAGCGAACGGACGAGAAGCUUGCUUCUCUGAUGCUAGCGGCGGACGGGUGAGUAACACGUGGAUAACCUACCUAUAAGACUGGGAUAACUUCGGGAAACCGUAGCUAAUACCGGAUAAUAUUUUGAACCGCAUGGUUCAAAAGUGAAAGACGGUCUUGCUGUCACUUAUAGAUGGAUCCGCGCUGCAUUAGCUAGUUGGUAAGGUAACGGCUUACCAAGGCAACGAUGCAUAGCCGACCUGAGAGGGUGAUCGGCCACACUGGAACUGAGACACGGUCCAGACUCCUACGGGAGGCAGCAGUAGGGAAUCUUCCGCAAUGGGCGAAAGCCUGACGGAGCAACGCCGCGUGAGUGAUGAAGGUCUUCGGAUCGUAAAACUCUGUUAUUAGGGAAGAACAUAUGUGUAAGUAACUGUGCACAUCUUGACGGUACCUAAUCAGAAAGCCACGGCUAACUACGUG